rnacentral:rRNA from 1 species
UACGUAGGGUGCGAGCGUUGUCCGGAAUUAUUGGGCGUAAAGAGCUCGUAGGCGGUUUGUCGCGUCGACUGUGAAAACCUACAGCUUAACUGUGGGCUUGCAGUCGAUACGGGCAGACUUGAGUUCGGUAGGGGAGACUGGAAUUCCUGGUGUAGCGGUGAAAUGCGCAGAUAUCAAGGAGGAACACCGGUGGCGAAGGCGGGUCUCUGGGCCGAUACUGACGCUGAGGAGCGAAAGCGUGGGGAGCGAACAGGAUUAGAU